AGAGUUUGAUCAUGGCUCAGGAUGAACGCUGGCGGCGUGCUUAACACAUGCAAGUCGAACGAGGUCCAUGGAGCUUGCUCCGGAAGAUCUAGUGGCGAACGGGUGCAUAACACGUGAGAAACCUGCCUCAGUCUCUGGGAUAACAGUUGGAAACGACUGCUAAUACCGGAUGCCGUCACACCAUCACAUGGUGGAGUGACGAAAGAUUUAUCGGAUUGAGAGGGUCUCGCGGCCUAUCAGCUAGUUGGAGAGGUAACGGCUCACCAAGGCAUCGACGGGUAGCUGGUCUGAGAGGAUGAUCAGCCACACUGGGACUGAGACACGGCCCAGACUCCUACGGGAGGCAGCAGUGGGGAAUCUUGCACAAUGGGCGAAAGCCUGAUGCAGCAACGCCGCGUGCGGGAAGAAGGCCCUAGGGUUGUAAACCGCUUUCAGUAGGGAAGAAAAUGACGGUACCUACAGAAGAAGGUGCGGCCAACUACGUGCCAGCAGCCGCGGUGACACGUAGGCACCAAGCGUUAUCCGGAUUUAUUGGGCGUAAAGAGCUCGUAGGCGGUUCGGUAAGUCGGGUGUGAAAACUCUGGGCUCAACCCAGAGAGGCCACCCGAUACUGCUGUGACUAGAGUGCGGUAGGGGAGCGGGGAAUUCCUGGUGUAGCGGUGAAAUGCGCGAUAUCAGGAGGAACACCAGCGGCGAAGGCGCCGCUCUGGGCCGUAACUGACGCUGAGGAGCGAAAGCAUGGGUAGCAAACAGGAUUAGAUACCCUAGUAGUCC
rnacentral:rRNA from 1 species